CGCAUACGCCCUUCGGGGGAAAGCGGGGGAUCUUCGGACCUCGCGCUAUUGGAUGAGCCUGCGUCGGAUUAGCUUGUUGGUGAGGUAAAGGCUCACCAAGGCGACGAUCCGUAGCUGGUCUGAGAGGAUGAUCAGCCACACUGGGACUGAGACACGGCCCAGACUCCUACGGGAGGCAGCAGUGGGGAAUAUUGCGCAAUGGGGGAAACCCUGACGCAGCCAUGCCGCGUGUGUGAAGAAGGCCUUAGGGUUGUAAAGCACUUUCAAUAGGGAGAAAAGGCUCACGGUUAAUACCCGUGAGAGUUGAUGUUACCUAUAGAAGAAGCACCGGCUAACUCCGUGCCAGCAGCCGCGGUAAUACGGAGGGUGCGAGCGUUAAUCGGAAUUACUGGGCGUAAAGCGCGCGUAGGCGGUUUGCUAAGUCAGCUGUGAAAGCCCCGGGCUUAACCUGGGAACUGCAGUUGAUACUGGCAGGCUAGAGUACGAGAGAGGGAGGUAGAAUUCCAUGUGUAGCGGUGAAAUGCGUAGAUAUAUGGAGGAAUACCAGUGGCGAAGGCGGCCUCCUGGCUCGAUACUGACGCUGAGGUGCGAAAGCGUGGGUAGCAAACAGGAUUAGAUACCCUGGUAGUCCACGCCGUAAACGAUGUCUACUAGCCGUUGGGUGACUUGAUUGCCUAGUGGCGCAGCUAACGCAAUAAGUAGACCGCCUGGGGAGUACGGCCGCAAGGUUAAAACUCAAAUGAAUUGACGGGGGCCCGCACAAGCGGUGGAGCAUGUGGUUUAAUUCGAUGCAACGCGAA
rnacentral:rRNA from 1 species